CGGGUUGUUGCUGGCCCCCAAACCGGGCACGUGCACGCCCUGUUUACGCAUCCACUCACACCUGUGCACCCUCUGUAGUUCUGUGGACCGGGAGACGUCGUCUUCCUUCCGUGGCUCUACGUCUUUACACACACGCCGUAGCGAAGUCUCAUGGAAUGUUUUUCGCGUUUAACGCAAUACAAUACAACUUUCAGCAACGGAUCUCUUGGCUCUCGCAUCGAUGAAGAACGCAGCGAAAUGCGAUAAGUAAUGUGAAUUGCAGAAUUCAGUGAAUCAUCGAAUCUUUGAACGCACCUUGCGCCCCUUGGUUAUUCCUCGGGGCAUGCCUGUUUGAGUAUCAUGAACACCUCAACUCUCGUGGUCUUCCAUGAUGAGCUUGGACUUUGGGGGUUUGCUGGCCCUGUGGCCGGCUCCUCUCAAACGAAUCAGCUUGCCAGUGUUUGGCGGCGUCACGGGUGUGAUAACCAUCUACGCUUGCGAUCGCCUGCCAGAUAACCCUCAGCGAUGAAGGUUCAUUGGGGCUYACAAAAGUCUCUCCACGGCGAGGACGAAUUUUGAAUGUUCGAUCUCAAAUCAGGUAGGACUACCCGCUGAACUUAAGCAUAUCAAUAAGCGGAGGAAAAGAAACUAACAAGGAUUCCCCUAGUAACUGCGAGUGAAGCGGGAAGAGCUCAAAUUUAAAAUCUGGCGUGCCUCCGGUCGUCCGAAUUGUAGUCUGGAGAAGCGUUUUCCGUGCUG
rnacentral:rRNA from 1 species